GUUUGACCUAAAGUGAAAGUGAAAGCGUUCUCUUCCAGCUGCUUGAUCAUCCUGCAGCGUCUUUCGCUCUCAUUUUCAGCUGCUGCAACACAAACAGCAAAGGAAACCACAAGAUGGGGAAUAAGCAAAGCUCAGAUAAGCCCAAUCAAGUCCACACAGAUGGUGCAACAUCAUCAAAACAUAAUAAGAAGCAGCUUGAGUGUGUCAGUACAGGUGAAACCUUUGGGGCAGACGAAGCUUUGAAGGAACAAGUUACCAGGAAGGUUAAGGAAAAAAUCCGCACCGAGAUACACCACCUCAUUGUUUUUUGUCCCAUCACGUCUCGUGUUGGCUCAGAUGUGGAAGCAGCCAUGGACAAAAUGAAAAGUGAUCGAGAUAUCAUUUUGGUUUUGAUGCACCACACCAGAGAUCCUGACUACUCAACUGCUGGGACAAAUUGGUCUGAAACAAUUGAGAAUGUUAAGUUGGAUGUUCAUGUUCUGUUUCAUGAAUCUGUGCCGGGGUUGUUGAAAUGUUCACAAAAUCAUAAUGCAGUGGAU